rnacentral:rRNA from 1 species
CCUACGGGAGGCAGCAGUGAGGAAUAUUGGUCAAUGGGCGAGAGCCUGAACCAGCCAAGCCGCGUGAAGGAUGACGGCUCUAUGGUUUGUAAACUUCUUUUAUAUGGGAGUAAACGGAGAAACGCGUUCCUUUCUGUAUGUACCAUACGAAUAAGCAUCGGCUAACUCCGUGCCAGCAGCCGCGGUAAUACGGAGGAUGCGAGCGUUAUCCGGAUUUAUUGGGUUAAAAGGGUGCGUAGGCGGGGGAUUAAGUUAGAGGUAAAAUCGUGGAGCUAAACUCCGGCAUGCCGUUGAUACUGAUGAGCUAGAGAGUAGGUGAAGUAUGCGGAAUGUAUGGUGUAGCGGUGAAAUGCUUAGAGAUCGCGCAGAACACCGAUUGCGAAGGCAGCGUACCAGCUUCACACUGACGCUGAGGCACGAAAGCGUGGGUAGCGAACAGGAUUAGAUACCCCAGUAGUC